CGGUCGGGCCGCGAACAAAUGUCAACAAGUAGGAAAAUCAAAAUGUAGAAACUAUGAGUAAGGAGGUCGGCUGAACAUGUCUAUGCGAUGCAGGCCACCUUCCAACAGCCAAGAAAGUUUGGCACUUGGGACUACUUGCGGCCACAUUGUCAUUUCCAAACCCACCAGGAGCUCUCCAGGUGUCCCUGAACAUCUGGCAUGUCCGCCAUUGAUUGGGAAGCCGCUGAGCAACUCUUCAGUGAGCAUCCAAAUGUGACACACCCUCUCUGGCUGCAGCAUGCAGAAGUCCUGGGAAGGCAGUGAAGAAAACCCCUACCCCCUGGAGCAAGACUUGGAUUUCCAGCUUCACUGUCCGUGCUCUGAGAACCUCUGGGGGAGUGUUGGGUGUCCAGCCCCUGGGAGGACAGCAACACAAUGGAAGGCAGGCCAAAGAGAAACUGCCGGGCUUUGAUGUCUCCGUUUUCUUCUAAGUAAUAAGAGCUCUUUCCCUCUUUCAUUUAUUUGGUCAAAAUUGAGGACAAAUAAAGCUCCUGGUGAUUUGUAUAGAAGCACAGUGAACUUCCUUUCCACGCUCGGUCCCCAGGAUUUAUAAG